rnacentral:lncRNA from 8 species
AUGCAAUCUGGUUUCAGAGCUGGUCAUGGGUGCACCUCAGCCACGCUCAAGGUCCUAAACGACAUCAUAACCGCCAUCGAUAAGAGACAUUACUGUGCAGCCGUAUUCAUCGACCUGGCCAAGGCUUUCGACUCUGUCAAUCACCACAUUCUUAUUGGCAGACUCGACAGCUCAGUUCAGUGUGUCAAAUCGGAGGGCCUGUUGUCCGGACCUCUGGUAGUCUCUAUGGGUGUGCCACAGGGUUCAAUUCUCGGGCCGACUCUCUUCUCUGUAUACAUCAAUGAUGUUGCCCUUGCUGCUGGUGAUUCUCUGAUCCACCUCUACGCAGACGACACCAUUCUGUAUACUUCUGGCCCCUCUUUGGACACUGUGUUAACUAACCUCCAGACGAGCUUCAAUGCCAUACAACUCUCCUUCCGUGGCCUCCAACUGCUCUUAAACGCAGGUAAAACUAAAUGCAUGCUAUUCAAUCGAUCACUGCCCGCACCUGCUCGCCCGUCCAGCAUCACUACUCUGGACGGCUCUGGCUUAGAAUACGUGGACAACUACAAAUACCUGGCUGUCUGGUUAGACUGUAAACUCUCCUUCCAGACUCACAUUAAGCAUUUCCAAUCCAAAAUUAAAUCUAUAAUCGGCUUCCCAUAUCGCAACAAAGCAUCCUUCACUCAUGCUGCCAAACACACCCUCGUAAAACUGACCAUCCUACCGAUCCUCGACUUCGGUGAUGUCAUCUAUAAAAUAGCCUCCAAUACCCUACUCAACAAACUGGAUGCAGUCUAUCACAGUGCCAUCCGUUUUGUCACAAAAGCCCCAUACACUACCCACCAUUGCGACCUGUACGCUCUCGUUGGUUGGCCCUCGCUUCAUACUCGUCGCCAAACCCACUGGCUACAGGUUAUCUACAAGUCUCUGCUAGGUAAAGCCCCGCCUUAUCUCAGCUCACUGGUCACCAUAGCAGCACCCACUCGUAGCAUGCGCUCCAGCUGGUAUAUUUCACUGGUCACCCUCAAAGCCAUUUUCUCCUUUGGCCGCCUUUCCUUCCAGUUCUCUGCUGCCAAUGACUGGAACGAACUGCAAAAAUCUCUGAAGCUGGAGACUCAUAUCUCCCUCACUAUCUUUAAGCACCAGCUGUCAGAGCAGCUCACAGAUCACUGCACCUGUACAUAG